rnacentral:snRNA from 1 species
GUGCUCACUUCAGCAGCACAUAUACUAAAAUUGGCACAAUACAGAAAAGAUUAGCAUGGCCCUUGCACAAGGAUGACACUCAACUUUGUGAAGCAGUCCAUAUUUUU